ACUAUUACCAACAGGUGGCGCUAUGACUUUUCCAAAAUUUAUGAGUGUGGAUGUGUUCAGACUGGACCUGGUAUCCAGCAUGUGAAGUCUGAGGCAGAUAGGAUGUUGUUCAGCUGAGAUAUGAAUCGUUAAAUUUUCAUGGCGAAACAUCAAAAUUGGUUUGGCCGCCACAGACACGCCCUUUGAUGACAAGUCACCAUUUUCACUGGGAUGCAUCAUCAAUGUGUUUAGGCUGUUGUCACUGCAUUUGAAGUGAAUAUGAUCAACCGGGUAACAAUAGGGCAUGAAAGUGUAAAAGAUGUCUAUUUCCUGAAACCACAAGGUGGCGCUAUGACUGUCAAUGAAUAUCCCUAUGUGGAUGACAUCAGGACAGGACUGUCAUCAUACAUGUAAAGUUUCAGGCAGAUUGGAGCAUGUUGAGAAGAAUUAGACACCACUUCCUGUUUCAUGGCGAAGGAUCAGUUGUUUGAGGCUCCGCCAUGGCCACACCUUUUGGCUUCUGGUUGAGUUUUUGAUAACUUUUCAUCAGAAAGGUCUGGUGCAUGUACUGGCCAAAUUUCAGUUCUCUCAGACUUAUCCACUAGGAGCUAUAAAUUUUGACAAAUGUACAGAAAAUUCAAGAUGGCCGACUUCCUGUUGGGUUUAGGGUGUGGCUGUGAUUGACUUUUUGGUGUGUCCUGAUGUGGUGCAUAUGCCCACCAAAUAUUGUAGCUGUAAAUAAAACAUUGUGGAAGUUGGCCUAAUGACCACUUUUUCAAUUUUGCAGGUGGCGCUAUAGAGCCAUUUUUUCACACAUAUGCGCAACUCCCAUAAAAUAUCAAAUUUUUCGCCAGUCCUGAUGUGCACGCCAAAUUUCACGCGUUUUGGUUCAUGAUAAGGCCGCCAAAAAGGCAAGUCAUUUCCCGAGGAGCGAUUAAGUUUGAAAAAUUUACAACAAAUUGAAGAUGGCCGACUUCCUGUUGGGUUUAGGGCGUGGCUGUAAUUGACUUUUUGGUGUGUCCAGAUGUUCUGCAUAUGCCCACCAAAUAUUGUAGCUGUACAUGAAACAUUGUGGCAGUUGGCCUAAUGACUACUUUUUCAACUUUGCAGGUGGCGCUAUAGAGCCAUUUUGCCACGCACAUGCGCAACUCCCAUAAAAUAUCAAAUUUUUCGCCAGUCCUGAUGUGCAUGCCAAAUUUCACGCGUUUUGGAGUAUGAUAAGGCCGCCAAAAAGCCAAUUUACUUUACGGGAGAAAAAAAAAAAAAAAUAAUAAUAAUAAUAAUUAAAGCUGCAAGCAGCGAUGGACGGGUCCUCGCAUCCACGCUGGUCGUGAAUCCACGCACGUCCACCAGGUGGCGCUGUGACUGAGAGUGUAUGUCGGCCUCUGAAUCGCAUCUGGACCAGAGUCCAAUCAUACAUGUAAAAUUUCAGCCAGACUGUAGCAUGUUCAGAGCAGUUAUAGAGCAUUUCCUGUCUAUCCACCAGGUGGCGCUGUAACUCAGAGUGUAUUUCACACAGUGGAUGUGAUGAGGGUUGGACUCUGAUCACUCAUGAAAAGUUUCAGGCUGAUUUGAUCAUGUAGAGGCCAGUUAUACAGCAUUUACUGUCCCUCCAACAGGUGGCGCCGCGACUGAGAGUGUCUGUUGGCCUGUAGAUGUGAUCAGGAUUGGAUUGUGAUCACACAUGGAAAGUUUGAGGCAGAUUGGAGCAUGCAGAGGAGAGUUAUACAGCAGUUGAUGUUUCAUGGCGAAGCAUCAAAACGCUGAUGGUCGCCAUGGCCACGCCAUUUGGCUUCUGGUUAAACUUUUGAUAACUUUUCAUCACCAAGUCCUGCUGUGUGGACUGACAAAAUUUCAGGUCUCCUGGAAUUAUCCCCUAGGAGGUAUUAACUCUCAAAAAUGAGAAAAAUCAUCAAAAAUCUCACAAUUAAUCCAAGAUGGCCGAC